AAGUCGUAACAAGGUUUCCGUAGGUGAACCUGCGGAAGGAUCAUUACAAGUUAUUAGUGUGGACAUGUAUGUAUGUGGGUGGGUGGGUUAGUGGGUAAGCGGGUCAGUGGCACUCUAUCAGCUACAACGCUACUGGCUAUUUAGCUGCAAGCGACUAGCUUUUAGACCUACAGCCCCCGCCAUAACCCCACCUAUGCCAUAUGUAUACUACACCACUAUAUACGCGUGUUGUGUUUGACAGAGUCAUCUAGUUCUAAACUUUUAAAACUUUUAACAAUGGAUCUCUUGGUUCUC
rnacentral:misc_RNA from 1 species